rnacentral:lncRNA from 1 species
CUUUGCUAUAAUCAUGUGAUAAACGAGAUAAGAAAUAUUAAAUCAUACAAAUGUUGAAAAUGUGCGAAAAACGAGAUCAGAAUACUUAUAUUGUACAAAUUAUCACAAGAAAUACAGUAUUAUAAACAAGCACAUAAAAGAUACAAGUGACCAAUGAAAAAUUCACAUUUGUUUUCAAUAGUUGAUGAUAAUUUAUUUUACUUCAUUAUUCACAAAUUCUCCACAAGAAUUGUAAUUUUCAAACUAUAUUAUAUAAAAUGCAUGCCUUGCAUAUCAUUAAUUGAAAUGAUUAUGUUCUUGUUACACAACUAUAAUACAUUAAUAUGUGUACAUAAUCUACACAAGAGUAAUAAUUGAUGUUAUACACUCUUUUAUAGUGUGUGUGUUCCUAAAAAUAAAAUGUACAAAUUACUUCUUAGUCUAGCGAAUUUUCAUAAUAUUUACAUGAUUUUCUCUAAACAAUAAAAUGAAAACAACAUGUUAUGAAUUUCCUGCAUCCAAAGUGCUUUUCUGGAAUUUCCUUCAUCAGGAAUGCAUAAAUCAGAGAAUUUGAAAGCCAAGAAUUUAAAAAUCAAAAACAAUUAAAGGGCUUUAUUCUUCAUAUAAUGAAGUUUUAUUUAUUUUGGUUGGUAUCAUUUUUUCUGGAUUAAAGAAAAAAUGCAUUGAAGAGAAAUUUGAUUUCACGGAUUGUGAAUAUUUUCAUACAAGCCUAUAUACAAUUCAUACUUAGUUCCAAAGUCUGUAUUUAUUGCUUAAAUGACUUAUAGAAAAUGAAAACCAAUGGUAUACAGUUGAAUCAUAAAACAAUCAUGCAUAUACAGGAGAGACUCAUCUCAUAAGAGACAGUUUGUUUUUUAAUUGGAUAUGGUCUACAUGUGAAAACUACUGAUUGUAAAAUGUAAAAGAACCAAACUUCAAAUAAAACUAACAUCAGACACUAUUAUGUACUACAUAAAUGAGUAAAAAAGACAAAGAUCUAAAAUGAAAAUGAAAAGUCAGUUUUGAUUAUAAAAGGAGAUAAAUCUAAA